rfam:Astyanax mexicanus chromosome 23, whole genome shotgun sequence.
GGCUCGUUGGUCUAGGGGUAUGAUUCUCGCUUAGGGUGCGAGAGGUCCGGGUUCAAAUCCCGACGAGCCC